GUGUUUGCGCCUGCGCCCUGGGGGCAGGCCCAGGCCGCCCAGCGGCGCCCAAUUCAGUGGGCCCUUCUGUGGCGUCAUCGACUGCGGCUGCUCUCCUGCCCUUCCGUCUUCCCUUUCUCCCCCUUCCCCCACCUCCUUUUCGCCUUCAGCACUGUUUUAGGUCCUGCUCACCCUUCCAGGCCCAUCUGUGGCACAAAGCUUCGCCAGAGACUGGGCUCCUACCAUUGCUGUGAUUGGCCUCCUGUCAUUGCCGGUGACUGGUCAAUCGCUCUCAGCUCUGUUUCAGACCCUUUCAUGCUCUCGCACCCCUCGCUCCCGCACACCACCCCACCUCGACCUCCGAAGCUGAAACUAGUCCUUUUGCCCCUGAAUGGUUUUUUUACACCUUUAUCAGGUGCUUAGUCUGUCUUUUUUGCAUCGAGCUGGAUGACCCGCGCCAUGGCGCUCCUCUCCGGUUGUAGCCCUUUUAAGUCCCGGGGAAACUUGGGGAAGAAAAGUCUAACCUGAAGAGCAGGUACCUUGAGACCAUUUGUUGGCUUCCAGCGGGAAACUCUUUCAAGAGGGAAAGUCACAGUUUGGGGACUUAACAUUGCCUCAAGAUUGUCAGCAACCUGGGAUCACAAUUGAUGUCGAAUUCAUCUUUGUUUCCCAAGGCACCUGGUGCAAGGAGAAGUUAGCCACUUAGUCAUGAGGACACUGGAAGUCUCUGGAGAUGCCCAUGUGGGAAGAAACUCAGGUCUCCUAUGAGCUACCAAUACCACCUUGCCAGAUUUGUGACUGCACCUCUUUGGAAGCAGAUCUUGCAACUCCAUUCUCUUAUGAUGACUGCAGCCCUGGCGACAUCUUGGCUGCAGCCUCAUGGGAUGACCUGGGUCCGAACCAUCCAUUCAGCAGUUCCUGGAUUCAAGACGCCACACAGUGAGUGUGAUAAAUUUUCGUUACUGUUUACUUGUUCGCAGUCUUUUUUGAAAUAAAAUUCACAUACAUAAUCUUCACCGUCUUAAAGUGUACAGUUCAGUGGUUUUUAGUAUAUUCAUUGUUAUGCAACCAUUUUCACUAUCUCAUUCCAGAAGAUCUCCAUGACCUUAAAAUGAUGCCCUCUUGGCCAUCACUCUUAGUUCCCCUUACUCCCCAUCACCUGAUGACUGCUAAUCUACUAUUUGACUCUACAGAUUUGUCUAUUGUGGACAUUAUUGUCUUUUCACUUUAUUGAUACUGUCCUUUGAUGCAAAAUUUUAAAAAAUUUUGAUGAUUCACAGACUAGUUACUUUUGCUUUGUUUGCUUGUGCUGUUGUUGUCACACUAAAGAAACUGAUGAGUAUCACAAGGUUGUAAAUACUUUUUUUCCUUCUAAGAGAUUUAUGGUUUAUAAAAGGGAGAAAUUGAUUGUGAAAAGGGAGGGAGGAAAACCUAAUUGAAGCCCAGGGUUUUUCAUAGGUAUAUAUGCACAUAAGGAAAAUAUACACAUGAAAGAGAAUAUUGGGGAAAAGGGUUCCAUCAGGACUCUUCAUACUCAUGUAUGCCUAAGAAAGUCUCUUUGUAGGAUUUGGGCUCUGACCUGAGCCAGAGAAGUGCUGCCUUCUUAUGCAUAUUAUGAGUGGGAUGAGUGGGAAUAGGGUGGGAGUAGGA